CUCAUUUAUUUUGUUUGUGUAAUUUGUUGAAAUGGAAGGAAGAACAAGCAUAUGAUGUGACAACUUCACCUUCUCUAAAUUCGCUUGGGAUAGAAUUGAAGAGAUUUGAAAGAUACGCAGAAUACCAACUUUUACGAUCGGAGAAAAUUUCGCUUCAAGUCGAAGUACAGAACCGGAGUGUUUAAAAUUUGUUGUUAAGCUUCUUUAUUGCAUACACACAGCUAAACAACCAGUUUACUCCUCUUUACAUGAAACCAAUAUUGUCACCACAGAGUUCCAUUGUAUACCUAACAAUUUCUCACAUGCAUCUCUAGAGAGCUCUAUCUGGCUGUUCUCGUUAACGAACAAUCGAAACAUGCGCUCUAAGAAUCUGGGCGCCAUCUCAAGUACACUUUUUGCAAAAGCUGCAAUCUUUUCAGGUGGACAACAUUCCUUUGGCUUUCUUAAAAAAAAAUAUUUCUCACAUAAAUGAAAAAAAUUAAACAAAUGGAAAAGGAAACUAAAGUCUUUAAAAAGUUCGUGUAUUCCUUUACUGCUCUUGAGCCAUGAUCGUUAUUUUGAUGAUGGUGGAUAUAAAGCAACUGGCAGAAUAAAGACUGUGAAUUAAAUAAAAAAUAUACGCUACUUUUUAAGUAGUCUAAUUUUUUGUUAGACCUUGUAGAUAACUUAAAGACGCUUCAUAUGCCAUGCAACAUCGUUGUUAGUGCAUUAAUUUGUAGCGGAUCACGUGAAAUAUUUUAUUGCCUGACGAGCAAUUAGCACUUUACAUUAAUAAAAAAAAAUACUCACAUGUGCUCAGUUAUUGUCGCAUGAGAGUCCAAUUUGUUGCUGUUA